UACGUAGGGCGCAAGCGUUGUCCGGAAUUAUUGGGCGUAAAGAGCUCGUAGGCGGCUGUCACGUCGGUUGUGAAAGCCCGGGGCUUAACCCCCCCCCGGGUCUGCAGUCGAUACGGCAGGCUAGAGUGUGGUAGGGGAGAUCGGAAUUCCUGGUGUAGCGGUGAAAAUGCGCAGAUAUCAGGAGGAACACCGGUGCGAAGGCGGAUCUCUGGCCAUACUGACGCUCAGGCGCGAAAAGCUAGGGGGGGGGAGCGAAACAGG
rnacentral:rRNA from 1 species